AUAUAUAUAUAUAUAUAUAUAUAUAUAUAUUAAUCAACAGUCUGACCAGGCCUGUUUAAUAAUUUUAUCCUAAUAAAGAGACGACUCUAAUUUUAAAACUAGCUAGCCUGGCUAGGACUGAAGAAACCAAGAUGAGAGAAAUAUUAUGGUACGUUUAGGAUGAGUGGCCCUAUUUACACCAUGUUUAGGUCCAUGAUUGCGACUGUGUGGGUAAACAUGACGUUUGUUCAUGUUUUAUCUGGAAUAUAAAUCCACCCAGUGUGGAAAAGCAACAAUGUAACCUUUAUUGCUCUGAACGUGUUUUGUGCUCUCGCUCGCUGUUGAAAUGAAGUCAUCAAAAUAUGCAAACCCAAUAUGGGCAAAUAGCA